GGGUGUUUCAUUUUUUUGGAAUUGGGUUGAUAGGUUGGACCGGUGGAGGCCCAACCCAUUUUUUUUCUUCCUCCCUUUCUCUUUUUUUCCUCUUUUCUUUUCCUCUCCCCGAGCUCUCUCUUCCCGCCGGACUUCCAGCCGUCGACUGCCGCCGUCCGGCCACCCACCGGCCGCCGCACCAGCCCAGAUCGGACCCCCGUCACCUCCUCUCCCUCCCCGGCCUAGUGUCCGAGCCGGUGGUGCCGCCGGAGAGGAGAAAAAGCCGCCGGAACCGCCGACUGUCCCUUCGCCGGAGCUCCGUCCUCCGGCCACCAUAGGCCGAGAUUGUUGGCUCAACUUGUAGCCCUCAUCUAGGUAAGUAAUCCCUCAAAAGGUUUCAGCUAAAUUCGAUUUCGUUAGGGAGGUUUGUUUAAUUGAAAGUUUUAGGGAUUUGUGGUUGUUUGUGUUCGAUCGACAUGGUUAGGCUUAGAAUUGGAGUUUGUGGUAGUUAGGAAUGUUGUAGAGGAGGUUGAGAGGAAGAUGCUGCCAAUUUUUGGUGAGCAUAGGAGGUCGCCGGAAAACGGCUGCCGGCCGCCGCUGCCGGCGGAGCCGCCGCCGGUUAGGAGAUUUUUAGGGUUUUAAAUGUGGAAUAUUAAGAGGAGUAUAUUGGUGUGAUUUAUGGAAUUUUUGGAUGAGAUUUGGAUAGGUUUGUGAAUUUCCGAAGUUUGGUAUUUUUGGCGGUUAAUUAAUGUAGAAUCCGACCGUAGGAUUUAAGUCGUAUGUUGGGGAGGUUGUAUUUACGACUGUUGAGUAUGAUAUUUAAGUUCGGAUCGUUCCGAUUUAAGAAUAUCGAAGUUAGGCAAUGAUGAGCGUAAUUAUGGCUCUCGGGUAAUUUUGCCUAUUUUGAUUAAAUAUUGGAUUAUUUGGUUGGGAAUUAAUAUUAUAUUUGGAACAGGACGUGAGGAGGCUCGAGCAGACGAGACCCCAGAUCGACAUCAGGCUUAGGCCUAAUUUGUGAGUGGACGUUUAUUUUAAAUAAAUGCAUGCUAAAGUUCACGAUUGAAUAAUUAAUGUCGUGGAGUAUUUGACGUCAUUUUAAUUUUUGACUAUUUUUAUUUCUCUUGGAGAGAUACCGAAAAUGGGAUUUUCGGUGGAUAUAAAUAUGUAUUUAUGAGAGAGUAUGUAUAGAAAAUGCUAGCUAGCCAUAUGUGUCUGUCCACCUUAAUGGCGUAGCAUAUAGCCGCAUUAUGGUGUGACGUGAGCGUUGGACGUAAUCGUAGUAGCCCUAUUUGAGUGUUUAAUUCAUAUAGGGGGUAUGGACACAUAUUUAUACACCCGUCUGUCCACCUUGAUGGCGUAGUGUAGCACCGCAUUAAGGCGUGACGUGAGCGUUGGACGCGAGCGUAGUAGCCCUAUAUAGACCCAUGAAUUUAUAUAGGGAGUAUGGACGAGUGUAAAUACAUACAUAUAUUAUAGAGUCUGAGAGGCUCGAUAUUUUAUGGGAUAAAAGUUUUAUCGCUUGCGGCAUGCAUUCGAUUUUUCCUUAGAAAUUAAUUUGGGGAAACAUAAAUAUUU
rnacentral:lncRNA from 1 species